rnacentral:rRNA from 1 species
GAUGAACGCUGGCGGCGUGCUUAACACAUGCAAGUCGAACGGAAAAACCCUGAUGUUGUGGGGGGGUCGAAUGGCGGAGGGGUGGUGAACACCGGGGUAACCACCCCUUAGUAUUCGGCUUUACUCAAGGGAAUGGGGCUAAGACCCGAUAGGAAAUCCCGCUGCAAAGUGUGGAAUGGAAAGCUUCGGUGGUCGGGGAUGUACUCGCGGAUUAUGAGCUUGCUUGUGGGGUGGUGGCUUACCAAGGCUUUGCCGGGCAGCCGGCCUGUGAGGGUGACCGGCCACAUUGGGACUGAGAUACGGCCCAGACUCCUACGGGAGGCAGCAGUGGGGAAUAUUGCACAAUGGGCGGAAGCCUGAUGCAGCAACGCCGCGUGCGGGAUGACUGCCUUCGGGUUGUAAACCGCUUUCGCCUGUGACGAAGCGUGAGUGACGGUAAUGUGUAAAGAAGCACCGGCUAACUACGUG